ACUCCUACGGGAGGCAGCAGUGGGGAAUAUUGCACAAUGGGCGCAAGCCUGAUGCAGCGACGCCGCGUGAGGGAUGACGGCCUUCGGGUUGUAAACCUCUUUCAGUAGGGAAGAAGCGAAAGUGACGGUACCUGCAGAAGAAGCACCGGCUAACUACGUGCCAGCAGCCGCGGUAAUACGUAGGGUGCGAGCGUUAUCCGGAAUUAUUGGGCGUAAAGAGCUCGUAGGCGGUUUGUCGCGUCUGUCGUGAAAGUCCGGGGCUUAACCCCGGAUCUGCGGUGGGUACGGGCAGACUAGAGUGCAGUAGGGGAGACUGGAAUUCCUGGUGUAGCGGUGGAAUGCGCAGAUAUCAGGAGGAACACCGAUGGCGAAGGCAGGUCUCUGGGCUGUAACUGACGCUGAGGAGCGAAAGCAUGGGGAGCGAACAGGAUUAGAUACCCUGGUAGA
rnacentral:rRNA from 1 species